GACGAACGCUGGCGGCGUGCUUAACACAUGCAAGUCGAACGGAUCACGAGGCUUCGGUUUUGUGGUGGGUGGCGAACGGGUGAGUAACACGUGAGUAACCUGCCCCGGACUUUGGGAUAACGGCUCGAAAGGGCUGCUAAUACCGAAUGUUGAAUCCUUGUCGCAUGGUGGGGGUUUGAAAGUUUUUUCGGUUCGGGAUGGGCUCGCGGCCUAUCAGCUUGUUGGUGGGGUGAUGGCCUACCAAGGCGUCGACGGGUAGCCGGCCUGAGAGGGCGACCGGCCACACUGGGACUGAGAUACGGCCCAGACUCCUACGGGAGGAAGCAGUGGGGAAUAUUGCACAAUGGGCGGAAGCCUGAUGCAGCAACGCCGCGUGCGGGAUGAAGGCCUUCGGGUUGUAAACCGCUUUCAGUCGGGACGAAGUUGACGGUACCGACAGAAGAAGCACCGGCUAACUACGUGCCAGCCGCCGCGGUAAAAC
rnacentral:rRNA from 1 species